rnacentral:rRNA from 1 species
UACGUAGGGGGCAAGCGUUGUCCGAAUUUAUUGGGCGUAAAGAGCGUGUAGGCGGCUUGGUAGGUCCGCUGUGAAAACUCGAGGCUCAACCUCGAGAUGUCGGCGGAAACCACUUGGCUAGAGUCCGGAAGAGGAGAGUGGAAUUCCUGGUGUAGCGGUGAAAUGCGCAGAUAUCAGGAAGAACACCCGUGGCGAAGGCGGCUCUCUGGGACGGUACUGACGCUGAGACGCGAAAGCGUGGGGAGCGAACAGG